GACGGGGGGGGCAAGUGUUCUUCGGAAUGACUGGGCGUAAAGGGCACGUAGGCGGUGAAUCGGGUUGAAAGUGAAAGUCGCCAAAAAGUGGCGGAAUGCUCUCGAAACCAAUUCACUUGAGUGAGACAGAGGAGAGUGGAAUUUCGUGUGUAGGGGUGAAAUGCGCAGAUAUCGGGAGGAACACCCGUAGCGAAGGCGGCACUCUGGGCCGGAACUGACGCUGAGGAGCGAAAGCGUGGGGAGCAAACAGG
rnacentral:rRNA from 1 species